rnacentral:rRNA from 1 species
GGGUUGUGAGGUUAAGCGACUAAGCGUACACGGUGGAUGCCCUGGCAGUCAGAGGCGAUGAAGGACGUGCUAAUCUGCGAUAAGCGUCGGUAAGGUGAUAUGAACCGUUGUAACCGGCGAUUUCCGAAUGGGGAAACCCAGUGUGAUUCGUCACACUAUCAUUAACUGAAUCCAUAGGUUAAUGAGGCGAACCGGGGGAACUGAAACAUCUAAGUACCCCGAGGAAAAGAAAUCAACCGAGAUUCCCCCAGUAGCGGCGAGCGAACGGGGAGCAGCCCAGAGCCUGAAUCAGUGUGUGUGUUAGUGGAAGCGUCUGGAAAGGCGCGCGAUACAGGGUGACAGCCCCGUACACAAAAAUGCACAUAUUGUGAGCUCGAUGAGUAGGGCGGGACACGUGGUAUCCUGUCUGAAUAUGGGGGGCCCAUCCUCCAAGGCUAAAUACUCCUGACUGACCGAUAGUGAACCAGUACCGUGAGGGAAAGGCGAAAAGAACCCCGGCGAGGGGAGUGAAAAAGAACCUGAAACCGUGUACGUACAAGCAGUGGGAGCACGCUUAGGCGUGUGACUGCGUACCUUUUGUAUAAUGGGUCAGCGACUUAUAUUCUGUAGCAAGGUUAACCGAAUAGGGGAGCCGAAGGGAAACCGAGUCUUAACUGGGCGUUAAGUUGCAGGGUAUAGACCCGAAACCCGGUGAUCUAGCCAUGGGCAGGUUGAAGGUUGGGUAACACUAACUGGAGGACCGAACCGACUAAUGUUGAAAAAUUAGCGGAUGACUUGUGGCUGGGGGUGAAAGGCCAAUCAAACCGGGAGAUAGCUGGUUCUCCCCGAAAGCUAUUUAGGUAGCGCCUCGUGAAUUCAUCUCCGGGGGUAGAGCACUGUUUCGGCAAGGGGGUCAUCCCGACUUACCAACCCGAUGCAAACUGCGAAUACCGGAGAAUGUUAUCACGGGAGACACACGGCGGGUGCUAACGUCCGUCGUGAAGAGGGAAACAACCCAGACCGCCAGCUAAGGUCCCAAAGUCAUGGUUAAGUGGGAAACGAUGUGGGAAGGCCCAGACAGCCAGGAUGUUGGCUUAGAAGCAGCCAUCAUUUAAAGAAAGCGUAAUAGCUCACUGGUCGAGUCGGCCUGCGCGGAAGAUGUAACGGGGCUAAACCAUGCACCGAAGCUGCGGCAGCGACGCUUAUGCGUUGUUGGGUAGGGGAGCGUUCUGUAAGCCUGCGAAGGUGUGCUGUGAGGCAUGCUGGAGGUAUCAGAAGUGCGAAUGCUGACAUAAGUAACGAUAAAGCGGGUGAAAAGCCCGCUCGCCGGAAGACCAAGGGUUCCUGUCCAACGUUAAUCGGGGCAGGGUGAGUCGACCCCUAAGGCGAGGCCGAAAGGCGUAGUCGAUGGGAAACAGGUUAAUAUUCCUGUACUUGGUGUUACUGCGAAGGGGGGACGGAGAAGGCUAUGUUGGCCGGGCGACGGUUGUCCCGGUUUAAGCGUGUAGGCUGGUUUUCCAGGCAAAUCCGGAAAAUCAAGGCUGAGGCGUGAUGACGAGGCACUACGGUGCUGAAGCAACAAAUGCCCUGCUUCCAGGAAAAGCCUCUAAGCAUCAGGUAACAUCAAAUCGUACCCCAAACCGACACAGGUGGUCAGGUAGAGAAUACCAAGGCGCUUGAGAGAACUCGGGUGAAGGAACUAGGCAAAAUGGUGCCGUAACUUCGGGAGAAGGCACGCUGAUAUGUAGGUGAAGUCCCUUGCGGAUGGAGCUGAAAUCAGUCGAAGAUACCAGCUGGCUGCAACUGUUUAUUAAAAACACAGCACUGUGCAAACACGAAAGUGGACGUAUACGGUGUGACGCCUGCCCGGUGCCGGAAGGUUAAUUGAUGGGGUCAGCGCAAGCGAAGCUCUUGAUCGAAGCCCCGGUAAACGGCGGCCGUAACUAUAACGGUCCUAAGGUAGCGAAAUUCCUUGUCGGGUAAGUUCCGACCUGCACGAAUGGCGUAAUGAUGGCCACAGGCUGUCUCCACCCGAGACUCAGUGAAAUUGAACUCGCUGUGAAGAUGCAGUGUACCCGCGGCAAGACGGAAAGACCCCGUGAACCUUUACUAUAGCUUGACACUGAACAUUGAGCCUUGAUGUGUAGGAUAGGUGGGAGGCUUUGAAGUGUGGACGCCAGUCUGCAUGGAGCCGGCCUUGAAAUACCACCCUUUAAUGUUUGAUGUUCUAACGUGGACCCGUGAUCCGGGUUGCGGACAGUGUCUGGUGGGUAGUUUGACUGGGGCGGUCUCCUCCUAAAGAGUAACGGAGGAGCACGAAGGUUGGCUAAUCCCCUGGUCGGACAUCAGGAGGUUAGUGCAAUGGCAUAAGCCAGCUUGACUGCGAGCGUGACGGCGCGAGCAGGUGCGAAAGCAGGUCAUAGUGAUCCGGUGGUUCUGAAUGGAAGGGCCAUCGCUCAACGGAUAAAAGGUACUCCGGGGAUAACAGGCUGAUACCGCCCAAGAGUUCAUAUCGACGGCGGUGUUUGGCACCUCGAUGUCGGCUCAUCACAUCCUGGGGCUGAAGUAGGUCCCAAGGGUAUGGCUGUUCGCCAUUUAAAGUGGUACGCGAGCUGGGUUUAGAACGUCGUGAGACAGUUCGGUCCCUAUCUGCCGUGGGCGAUGGAGAACUGAGGGGGGGCUGCUCCUAGUACGAGAGGACCGGAGUGGACGCAUCACUGGUGUUCGGGUUGUCAUGCCAAUGGCACUGCCCGGUAGCUAAAUGCGGAAGAGAUAAGUGCUGAAAGCAUCUAAGCACGAAACUUGCCCCGAGAUGAGUUCUCCCUGACCCUUUAAGGGUCCUGAAGGAACGUUGAAGACGACGACGUUGAUAGGCCGGGUGUGUAAGCGCAGCGAUGCGUUGAGCUAACCGGUACUAAUGAACCGUGAGGCUUAACCUUACAACGCCGAAG